UACGAAGGGGGCUAGCGUUGCUCGGAAUCACUGGGCGUAAAGCGCACGUAGGCGGAUUGCUAAGUCAGGGGUGAAAUCCUGGGAGCUCAACUCCAGAACUGCCUUUGAUACUGGCGUACCUUGAGUCCGGGAGAGGUGAGUGGAACUGCGAGUGUAGAGGUGAAAUUCGUAGAUAUUCGCAAGAACACCAGUGGCGAAGGCGGACUC
rnacentral:rRNA from 1 species